rnacentral:lncRNA from 13 species
AUGUGCGACUUCAACAGUGAUGUCUCCGAAUCCUGGACUCUCAGGAUCCUCUUGCGGUGUCCAGGCUCCCCACACUUGAUCAGCACGUUCCCACAACAGACCACGGCAGUCGUUUCUGUUUCCAGCAUUUCAUAUUUAGAAUGUGGAAGCCUCAGUGAAGAAUCAGGCUCCCAGAAAGAUUCAAACAGUUGAAAUAGAGGAAUUAGAAGAUGAAGACCUUAAAAAAAUCACCCACCGGCACAGGAAUGAGGAGAGAAAAGCAUCUUCACAGGCUCAGAAUCCUACUUGAUCCCAGAUUCUGCCCCAGGUCAAUAUUCAUUUAACAGACUUGUCCCAGGGAACAGAGCUGGUUAACAGGAAAUGUGCCCUUGAAGAGUGAAAAAAUCAUCUUACUCUUCUUCCUUGCAGAGUUUCAUUUUCUCACUGACUCUACAGGAGCAAGGAGCAGCUGAUGCAUUAUGUGGUGUCUUUCCUAUGGGAACAUGCAGUUUGGUAGCAAAGAAGCAGGGUAAAAAAAAAAGUCACCCAAGUGGAAUUGAUGGGGGUGAAGGGAUUCUGAUUGGCCAACAUAGAAGAUUAGAAGUUAUUCAUGGAGAUGAAGCACACAGGUUCAAUUUAAUACUGAUUUCAGCUUCAGGAGGGAGAAAUUGCCCUUGCCACUGAGUGUGGCGUUGUGAAGAAAUCUGUCUUUUCAUUUGGAAUAGGACUCCCUUCCUUCCCACCCCCGUAGCCUCCCCACAUGCAUGUCUCUUAUCCUGGUGGCAUUUUGAGGAGAGGGAAAAUGGGGAGAGGCUGUUUAUUCACCCCAAGGGCAAUGGAAAUCAGCAUAUACAGUGCAUUCCGUCCAAGUCAGCCGGGGAGAGUGACCAGGAAAUCCCACACAGAACAAUUCCCUGAAUAGGGUAUUUUGCUACCUUAUAGCCUAGGGUUGUUAGGAUUUUCUCUAACAAGGGACUUUGUGACAGUCUCUUACAAAGACUGUUCUUACAAAGGAUUUUUAGUAACAAUCACUCUGGUUUUGCCUCCUUGACACAAGAGAGUUUAAAAAUAACCAGUGUUAAGAUCCAACGCCGGGUUCACUAUCACUCUUGUACCCAUUUCUGGUGCAUGUUUUCCUUUCAAGCCACGAAGAAAAUGACAUUAUUCAGGGCCCUGGCUGCUGUGUGUGGCAUCUUCCUGUAUCUCUGAGCACAAACACUCACCCAUUCAUCCCCCAGCUGCCUGACCACCUGAAAACAACAUGACUGAUACGCAACAGUGCCAGGCAAGGAACAGGUGGGUGAUCUGAGCUUGGGGUCCUGCCAGCCCUCCCAUGAUGGAAUAAGAAAGGUCGCAAAUAAACACCGUAUGAUUUAAUUGAAUCUGAACGAG